rnacentral:rRNA from 1 species
UGCCCCAGUAACGGCGAGUGAAGCGGCAACAGCUCAAAUUUGAAAUCUGGCCCCAGGCCCGAGUUGUAAUUUGCAGAGGAUGCUUUUGGUGACGCGCUUACCGAGUCCCCUGGAACGGGGCGCCACAGAGGGUGAGAGCCCCGUAUGGUUUGACGCCGAGCCUCUGUAAAGCUCCUUCGACGAGUCGAGUAGUUUGGGAAUGCUGCUCUAAAUGGGAGGUAAAUUUCUUCUAAAGCUAAAUACCGGCCAGAGACCGAUAGCGCACAAGUAGAGUGAUCGAAAGAUGAAAAGCACUUUGAAAAGAGGGUUAAACAGCACGUGAAAUUGUUGAAAGGGAAGCGCUCGUGACCAGACUUGCGCCGGGCGGAUCAUCCAGCGUUCUCGCUGGUGCACUCCGCCCGGCUCAGGCCAGCAUCGGUUUUCGCCGGGGGACAAAAGCACCGGGAAUGUGGCUCCCCUCGGGGAGUGUUAUAGCCCGGAGUGUAAUACCCCGGCGGGGACCGAGGACCGCGCUUCGGCAAGGAUGCUGGCGUAAUGGUCAUCAGCGACCCGUCUUGAAACACGGACCGAGGAGUCAAGCAUUAGUGCGAGUGUUUGGGUGUAAAACCCGCACGCGUAAUGAAAGUGAACGUAGGUGAGAGCUUCGGCGCAUCAUCGACCGAUCCUGAUGUUUUCGGAUGGAUUUGAGUAGGAGCAUUAACGCUUGGACCCGA